AUUGAACGCUGGCGGCAUGCCUUACACAUGCAAGUCGAACGGCAGCACGGGAGCUUGCUCCUGGUGGCGAGUGGCGAACGGGUGAGUAAUACAUCGGAACGUACCCUGAAGUGGGGGAUAACGUAGCGAAAGUUACGCUAAUACCGCAUAUUCUGUGAGCAGGAAAGAGGGGGAUCGCAAGACCUCUUGCUUUAGGAGCGGCCGAUGUCGGAUUAGCUAGUUGGUGAGGUAAAGGCUCACCAAGGCGACGAUCCGUAGCGGGUCUGAGAGGAUGAUCCGCCACACUGGGACCUGAGACGACCGGCCAGACCUCCGUACGGGAGG
rnacentral:rRNA from 1 species